rnacentral:rRNA from 1 species
GCCCAGACUCCUACGGGAGGCAGCAGUGGGGAAUAUUGCACAAUGGGCGCAAGCCUGAUGCAGCGACGCCGCGUGGGGGAUGACGGCCUUCGGGUUGUAAACUCCUUUCGCCAGGGACGAAGCUUUUUGUGACGGUACCUGGAGAAGAAGCACCGGCUAACUACGUGCCAGCAGCCGCGGUAAUACGUAGGGUGCAAGCGUUGUCCGGAAUUACUGGGCGUAAAGAGCUCGUAGGUGGUUUGUCACGUCGUCUGUGAAAUUCCGCAGCUUAACUGUGGGCGUGCAGGCGAUACGGGCUGACUUGAGUACUGUAGGGGUAACUGGAAUUCCUGGUGUAGCGGUGAAAUGCGCAGAUAUCAGGAGGAACACCGAUGGCGAAGGCAGGUUACUGGGCAGUUACUGACGCUUAGGAGCGAAAGCAUGGGUAGCAAACAGGAUUAGAUACCCUGGUAGUCCAUGCCGUAAACGGUGGGCGCUAGGUGUAGGGGCCUUUUGGGGUUUCUGUGCCGUAGCU